UUUUUAUGAGAGUUUGAUCCUGGCUCAGGACGAACGCUGGCGGCGUGCCUAAUACAUGCAAGUCGAACGCUUCUUUUUCCACCGGAGCUUGCUCCACCGGAAAAAGAGGAGUGGCGAACGGGUGAGUAACACGUGGGUAACCUGCCCAUCAGAAGGGGAUAACACUUGGAAACAGGUGCUAAUACCGUAUAACAAUCGAAACCGCAUGGUUUUGAUUUGAAAGGCGCUUUCGGGUGUCGCUGAUGGAUGGACCCGCGGUGCAUUAGCUAGUUGGUGAGGUAACGGCUCACCAAGGCCACGAUGCAUAGCCGACCUGAGAGGGUGAUCGGCCACAUUGGGACUGAGACACGGCCCAAACUCCUACGGGAGGCAGCAGUAGGGAAUCUUCGGCAAUGGACGAAAGUCUGACCGAGCAACGCCGCGUGAGUGAAGAAGGUUUUCGGAUCGUAAAACUCUGUUGUUAGAGAAGAACAAGGAUGAGAGUAACUGUUCAUCCCUUGACGGUAUCUAACCAGAAAGCCACGGCUAACUACGUGCCAGCAGCCGCGGUAAUACGUAGGUGGCAAGCGUUGUCCGGAUUUAUUGGGCGUAAAGCGAGCGCAGGCGGUUUCUUAAGUCUGAUGUGAAAGCCCCCGGCUCAACCGGGGAGGGUCAUUGGAAACUGGGAGACUUGAGUGCAGAAGAGGAGAGUGGAAUUCCAUGUGUAGCGGUGAAAUGCGUAGAUAUAUGGAGGAACACCAGUGGCGAAGGCGGCUCUCUGGUCUGUAACUGACGCUGAGGCUCGAAAGCGUGGGGAGCAAACAGGAUUAGAUACCCUGGUAGUCCACGCCGUAAACGAUGAGUGCUAAGUGUUGGAGGGUUUCCGCCCUUCAGUGCUGCAGCUAACGCAUUAAGCACUCCGCCUGGGGAGUACGACCGCAAGGUUGAAAGUCAAAGAAAUUGACGGGGGGCAGAACAACCGGUGGAGCACGGGGUUUAAUUCGAAGCAACGCGAAGAACCUUACCAGGUCUUGACAUCCUUUGACCACUCUAGAGAUAGAGCUUCCCCUUCGGGGGCAAAGUGACAGGUGGUGCAUGGUUGUCGUCAGCUCGUGUCGUGAGAUGUUGGGUUAAGUCCCGCAACGAGCGCAACCCUUAUUGUUAGUUGCCAUCAUUCAGUUGGGCACUCUAGCAAGACUGCCGGUGACAAACCGGAGGAAGGUGGGGAUGACGUCAAAUCAUCAUGCCCCUUAUGACCUGGGCUACACACGUGCUACAAUGGGAAGUACAACGAGUCGCGAAGUCGCGAGGCUAAGCUAAUCUCUUAAAGCUUCUCUCAGUUCGGAUUGCAGGCUGCAACUCGCCUGCAUGAAGCCGGAAUCGCUAGUAAUCGCGGAUCAGCACGCCGCGGUGAAUACGUUCCCGGGCCUUGUACACACCGCCCGUCACACCACGAGAGUUUGUAACACCCGAAGUCGGUGAGGUAACCUUUUGGAGCCAGCCGCCUAAGGUGGGAUAGAUGAUUGGGGUGAAGUCGUAACAAGGUAGCCGUAUCGGAAGGUGCGGCUGGAUCACCUCCUUUCUAAGGAA
rnacentral:rRNA from 1 species